rnacentral:rRNA from 1 species
AAUAGAUACCCCGGUAGUCCACGCCGUAAACGAUGAGUGCUAAGUGUUAGAGGGUUUCCGCCCUUUAGUGCUGCAGCUAACGCAUUAAGCACUCCGCCUGGGGAGUACGGCCGCAAGGCUGAAACUCAAAGGAAUUGACGGGGGCCCGCACAAGCGGUGGAGCAUGUGGUUUAAUUCGAAGCAACGCGAAGAACCUUACCAGGUCUUGACAUCCUCUGCCAACCCUAGAGAUAGGGCGUUCCCCUUCGGGGGACAGAGUGACAGGUGGUGCAUGGUUGUCGUCAGCUCGUGUCGUGAGAUGUUGGGUUAAGUCCCGCAACGAGCGCAACCCUUGAUCUUAGUUGCCAGCAUUCAGUUGGGCACUCUAAGGUGACUGCCGGUGACAAACCGGAGGAAGGUGGGGAUGACGUCAAAUCAUCAUGCCCCUUAUGACCUGGGCUACACACGUGCUACGAAUGGAUGGUACAAAGAGCUGCGAACCCGCGAGGGUAAGCGAAUCUCAUAAAGCCAUUCUCAGUUCGGAUUGUAGG